rnacentral:misc_RNA from 1 species
UCCGGCUUAUCACCGGCGGUUUCUUUAGAGUGCCCAACUAAAUGAUGGCAACUAAAGACGAGGGUUGCGCUCGUUGCGGGACUUAACCCAACAUCUCACGACACGAGCUGACGACAACCAUGCACCACCUGUGUACGGCCCAAAAGGACACCGUAUCUCUACGGCUUUUCCGUACAUGUCAAACCCAGGUAAGGUUCUUCGCGUUGCCUCGAAUUAAGCAACAUGCUCCGCUGCUUGUGCGGGCCCCCGUCAAUUCCUUUGAGUUUUAAUCUUGCGACCGUACUCCCCAGGCGGGAAGCUUAAUGCGUUAGCUGCGCCACCGACAAGUAAACUUGCCAACGGCUAGCUUCCAUCGUUUACGGCGUGGACUAC